AGAGUUUGAUCCUGGCUCAGAUUGAACGCUGGCGGCGGGCUUAACACAUGCAAGUCGAGCGGGGGAGAUUGCUUCGGUAAUUGACCUAGCGGCGGACGGGUGAGUAAUACUUAGGAAUCUGCCUAUUAAUGGGGGACAACAUCUCGAAAGGGAUGCUAAUACCGCAUACGCCCUACGGGGGAAAGCAGGGGAUCACUUGUGACCUUGCGUUAAUAGAUGAGCCUAAGUCGGAUUAGCUAGCUGGUGGGGUAAAGGCCUACCAAGGCGACGAUCUGUAGCGGGUCUGAGAGGAUGAUCCGCCACACUGGGACUGAGACACGGCCCAGACUCCUACGGGAGGCAGCAGUGGGGAAUAUUGGACAAUGGGGGGAACCCUGAUCCAGCCAUGCCGCGUGUGUGAAGAAGGCCUUAUGGUUGUAAAGCACUUUAAGCGAGGAGGAGGCUCUUCUAGUUAAUACCUAGGAUGAGUGGACGUUACUCGCAGAAUAAGCACCGGCUAACUCUGUGCCAGCAGCCGCGGUAAUACAGAGGGUGCGAGCGUUAAUCGGAUUUACUGGGCGUAAAGCGUGCGUAGGCGGCUUUUUAAGUCGGAUGUGAAAUCCCCGAGCUUAACUUGGGAAUUGCAUUCGAUACUGGGAAGCUAGAGUAUGGGAGAGGAUGGUAGAAUUCCAGGUGUAGCGGUGAAAUGCGUAGAGAUCUGGAGGAAUACCGAUGGCGAAGGCAGCCAUCUGGCCUAAUACUGACGCUGAGGUACGAAAGCAUGGGGAGCAAACAGGAUUAGAUACCCUGGUAGUCCAUGC
rnacentral:rRNA from 1 species